rnacentral:lncRNA from 1 species
UGAUUCUGAUAUUUGACAAUUAAAGUAGUUGACUGUUUCACUCCUUUUGCCUUUUAAUAUUCUAGGAACCACCGCCCAAAGAGAGGAUCUGUUGCUGUCGUGAGUACCACUCUUUCAGAACACAGAAUGUGAAAGUGGGGAGUAAGGCUCCUUGAGAUUGACACUGGCCCACCCUCCUGGUCUGAAUACCAGAUGGUUGCAUAUUAUAUAUCCAAGCUAUUCUAUCAUGUUAGAAGAAAUAUAGUCUCCGUAUUGUACUGGAAAGAACUUAAGAUGCAGACUACGAUGAGACCCUAUAAGAUGGAGAAGACACAAGAGGAAAGGAGCCAGAGUCUCUGAAUGAUGGUGUAGUGAUGCUUUCCUGACAAUCUUAACAUCCACUCAGGACUCUGACAUUAGCAAGAUAUAAAUUUGUAUGUCAUUAAGCCACUGAAAUUUUGGAGUCUGUUUGUUAGUUCAACAAACCUAGUCCACAGGGUCUAUGUUUUUAAGAUCUAAGCACGUUAAAAUGGUGUCAGAAGAGAGUGUAAAUUUGGAUAAUUAGAGGGAAAGGAAACAAACAAUAUCACUACAUCAGUUAUAAGACAAGAGAGAUACGGACAGAGUACACAGGUUGGUGAAUGGCCCACAGCCAGAAGAGUGUUCUGGUUAUCCAUUGCUGUAUAAUAAACUGUUCUGAAACUUAACAACUUAAAGCAAUAAUCAUUUCAUUCCAUCUUCUUAAGUUUAAGAUUUUGAGGGUCAGGAAUUCAGGCAGAGCUCAGCUGGAUGAUUCUUCCGUUCCAUGUGGCAUUGAGAGGUUGUUGGUAGACGAGUGGAUCUGAACCAUCAAAGACUACUUUGUUCAUAAGUCUUGUGUUUUGUGUAAAUGGCCAGAAGGCUGGGCUUAGCUGGGAUUAUGGGCUUGGGGCCAGUAUGUGAUUGCUCCCCAGGACUCUGAGUAAUCCAAAUUCUUACACAGGCCUCCAAGAAAGAGAGUUCUAAAAUAUUUGGUUGAAAUCAGCAAGUCUUCAUUUGAUUUAACCUCAGAAGUUCCACCUCAAUUUCAAUGGCAGAAAAAUUAGAUUUCACCACUCAUUGAAAAGUAUGGCAAGUAUUUGCAGUCUUCUUUAAUGUAAAGCAGAACAACUUUUUUUUUUAACAAGCUAGAAGGAAGAAUUAAUUGAUAAGGAUGUCAUUUGCUUUUACAAGCUCUGGAAAAAACUUGAGGAAUUUCCAUUGAUUCUAUAAGAUAAGACAGUGAUAUAAAAUUUUUGAGAAUUUUCAGACAAAUAUAGAUGACCAAGUAUGCUGGUUCAAGUCCUUUUGGAAGCAGACACCAAGAAGGAAUUGGUUGUUCAAAAGAUUUAUUUGGGGAAAAUUUAGUGAUGGACAAAGGACGGAAGGAACAGGAGUUAGUAGGGAGAGUUUUAGAGCAAAUGCAGGUCUGACAACUAUUAAAGGAGAUAGGAAAGGAAGGAUAAAAUUGAAUAGGAGGAGUCUCAGACUAAAGUGUAGUUCUGAGAAAUUCUCAACCAGUGUGAUGGGGAGUCUCAGAGCAAAGAAUGCACAUUUGAGGAGUCCUUCGUGAGAGAGAAAUAGUGCUCUAUUCCCUCCACCAUGUGCAUUCAUUGGCUGGGAGUAGCCCAGGGAAAAUAUGUCCUGUGUAUAAAUGCUGGAUGGAUCCAAAGUUGUGGCAGCUGGAGUCAGGAAAUCAACUACGUUGCUCGCAAGGAAUCUCUCUUGAAGGGAGAUCUGAGAAGUACACAUCCAUGGCUGCCACAUUAGGCUUGAGAAUAGUUAAGAAGGUGUGGAAAAUUCUUGUCUGGAAUGGGAGAGUUGGUUCAAGAGACAUAGUAAUGGCAUAGUUAUCAAUUCUAUAAUUGAUAUAGCUAGGUUUAGUGUCCAUGGAUUUUGAGCACAAUAGAUUUUCUGUGAAUUUCUCUUGCUCAGCUGUCUAGGUUCAACAUUAAACUCUUAUUCCCUAUUUUUCUCCAUCCUUUAGUGCUCUGUCU